rnacentral:sRNA from 1 species
ACCACAAAAUUAUCAUUUUUGAUAUUGCUUUUCUCCAUGACUAUUACAAUUCAAUUAUAAUCUUCAAACCGCAAAGAUAUUUGAUAGCAUUUAAUUACUACAAAUUUACAAAAUAUUUAGACAAUAAUUCAUAAACAUAUCAUAAAUAAGAUCAACAUUAAUAAAAUAAAUAGUUUUUUUAUGGGACGGGUUGGCGGGACGGGUUUGGCAGGACGUUACGUAAUAACAAUUGUAAACUAUAAAAUAAAAAUAUUUUAUAGAUAGAUACAAUUUGCAAACUUUUAUGUAUACUAACUUUAAAAAAUAAAUUGUUUACGCGGUGUACCGCGGGUUAAGAUCUAGUAUCACUACAAAAAAGCAGCAGAAAUUUCAUCCUCAAAAAUUUGAAGGGAUUUUGAUCAAGAGGGACCGAUAUAGAACUCUUUGCAAAUUCAUUGAAUUUUCGAAAGAAUUUCUUUCUCUCGGAAAUUGACGAUAUUUCCGGGCAUUUCUGACAACAUACGACUUUUGAUAUAACCGAACCUUAUUACCACCAUCUUGAUCCUUUUUUUUUAACAACAUAACUAGGGGUGUCAAAAUGGGUCAAAAUUCAUGGGUCAACUCAACUCAACUCAACCCAUGAACCCUAAUGAGUUGAAAAUUUUGACUCGAAUGAGUUGAUGGGUCAAAUGAGUUGAUGAGUCAAUUGGUGUGAUGAGUAAAAUGAGUUGGGUUGUAAUGGUUAAUAGUUUCAAUGAUUUACCCAAUUAACCCAUCAAAUUUUGUAAAAUUGAAUUAAACCAACUAAAAUCUCUAAAUCAAUACCAAUUUAAGUUUAACCAACACAUCUAAACCAAUUUAAUAAAA